UACGUAGGGUGCAAGCGUUGUCCGGAAUUAUUGGGCGUAAAGAGCUCGUAGGCGGUUUGUCGCGUCUGCUGUGAAAACCCGAGGCUCAACCUCGGGCCGCAGUGGGUACGGGCAGACUAGAGUGCGGUAGGGGAGAUUGGAAUUCCUGGUGUAGCGGUGGAAUGCGCAGAUAUCAGGAGGAACACCGGUGGCGAAGGCGGGUCUCUGGGCCGUAACUGACGCUGAGGAGCGAAAGCGUGGGGAGCGAACAGG
rnacentral:rRNA from 1 species